rnacentral:rRNA from 1 species
UACGUAGGGGGCAAGCGUUGUCCGGAGUUACUGGGCGUAAAGCGCACGCAGGCGGUCUCUUAAGUUUGGAGUGACAGUUGGUGGCUUAACUGCCAAAGUGCUUCGAAAACUGAGAGACUUGAGGGCUUCAGAGGGACACGGAAUUCCGGGUGGAGUGGUGAAAUGCGUAGAGAUCCGGAGGAACACCAAAGGCGAAGGCAGCGUCCUGGGGAGUACCUGACGCUCAGGUGCGAAAGCCAGGGGAGCGAACGGG